CAUGGAGGGUGAGAAUCCCGUCCGGUUGAUCAGAUUCGCUUUACGAUACGCUUUCUAAGAGUCAAGUUGUUUGGGAUUGCAGCUUAAAAUGGGAGGUAAAUUUCUCCUAAGGCUAAAUAACGGCGAGAGACCGAUAGCGAACAAGUACCGUGAGGGAAAGAUGAAAAGAACUUUGAAAAGAGAGUUAAAUAGUACGUGAAAUUGUUGAAAGGGAAACGAUUGAAGCCAGUCGUACCUAUGGGUAAUCAGCCUUUUGGGUGUGAUUUUGUGGAGCGUGAGGAGUUAAACGCCUUCAUGCCUGCAUAUUCGUGCACUUUGGGUGUACUUGCCCGUAUGGUUGGUUAACAUCAAUUUUGGUGGUCAUAAAAUGACUGGAGGAAUGUAGCUUCGAUCUUGUAUUGAAGUGUUAUAGCCUUCGGUAGAUGUGAUGAUCGAGAUUGAGGAUUGCAACGGAUACCCUUCGGGGCUACCUGUCUGAUCUCUGAUCGUUGCUCUGGUGCCGAAAGCUUGCUUACGGUUAUCAAAGUCGAUGGUCAAUAGGUUAGAACGGGUUAAAUUCGUUAAGGAUGUUGACGUAAUGG
rnacentral:rRNA from 1 species